rnacentral:rRNA from 1 species
AGUGAACGCUGGCGGUAGGCCUAACACGUGCAAGUCGAACGGCAGCACAGUAAGAGCUUGCUCUUACGGGUGGCGAGUGGCGGACGGGUGAGGAAUACAUCGGAAUCUACUUUUUCGUGGGGGAUAACGUAGGGAAACUUACGCUAAUACCGCAUACGACCUACGGGUGAAAGCAGGGGAUCUUCGGACCUUGCGCGAUUGAAUGAGCCGAUGUCGGAUUAGCUAGUUGGCGGGGUAAAGGCCCACCAAGGCGACGAUCCGUAGCUGGUCUGAGAAGAUGAUCAGCCACACUGGAACUGAGACACGGUCCAGACUCCUACGGGAGGCAGCAGUGGGGAAUAUUGGACAAUGGGCGCAAGCCUGAUCCAGCCAUACCGCGUGGGUGAAGAAGGCCUUCGGGUUGUAAAGCCCUUUUGUUGGGAAAGAAAAGCAGCAGGUUAAUACCCCGCUGUUCUGACGGUACCCAAAGAAUAAGCACCGGCUAACUUCGUG